rnacentral:tRNA from 1 species
GGGGUUGUAACUCAGUGGUAGAGUGCUUGCCUUGAAUGUGUGAGGCACUGGGUUCAACUCUCAGCACCA